rnacentral:rRNA from 2 species
UAGUCUGAUGGAGCAUGCCGCGUGAGUGAAGAAGGGUUUCGGCUCGUAAAACUCUGUUGUUAAAGAAGAACACCUUUGAGAGUAACUGUUCAAGGGUUGACGGUAUUUAACCAGAAAGCCACGGCUAACUACGUGCCAGCAGCCGCGGUAAUACGUAGGUGGCAAGCGUUGUCCGGAUUUAUUGGGCGUAAAGCGAGCGCAGGCGGUUUUUUAAGUCUGAUGUGAAAGCCUUCGGCUUAACCGGAGAAGUGCAUCGGAAACUGGGAGACUUGAGUGCAGAAGAGGACAGUGGAACUCCAUGUGUAGCGGUGGAAUGCGUAGAUAUAUGGAAGAACACCAGUGGCGAAGGCGGCUGUCUAGUCUGUAACUGACGCUGAGGCUCGAAAGCAUGGGUAGCGAACAGGAUUAGAUACCCUGGUAGUCCAUGCCGUAAACGAUGAGUGCUAAGUGUUGGAGGGUUUCCGCCCUUCAGUGCUGCAGCUAACGCAUUAAGCACUCCGCCUGGGGAGUACGACCGCAAGGUUGAAACUCAAAGGAAUUGACGGGGGCCCGCACAAGCGGUGGAGCAUGUGGUUUAAUUCGAAGCUACGCGAAAGAACCUUACCAGGUCUUGACAUCUUCUGCCAAUCUUAGAGAUAAGACGU